GCAUCGGUGGUUCAGUGGUAGAAUUCUCGCCUGCCACGCGGGAGGCCCGGGUUCAAUUCCAGGCCGAUGCA